GCUAGAUUGGAAGGGGGAAAAAAUAGAGAGAGAAAGAAAAAAAAGUCCCAGUAAGGGCAGACAUCUACCUUAUUUCUAGGACAAAAGUAUGCAUCUCCUGGAUGACUCCCGUGCAAUUUCUCCUACACGGGGUAAUUUUAAUUCCAUCUCAUUGGCUGCUUCAGUAAUAGACAAUGACAGUCCCAGAUGCCAGGCCUUCGGCGUGAGCAUCUGUUCUCCCCUGAGGAUUAAACUAAGUGACUUAAUCUUCAGGACAGCAAGUCCUCCACGGUCCUCACUAAUGUCACGUGGGAACCACAGCACCAUGGCCACUGUGGGUCUAGAUGUGACCCUGAGCCUCAUGCGGGCCUGUACAGAGCAAAAGGCUGGUAAAAGGUUGAAGAGCUGAAAACAGUUAACAAAUACUGUACACGCUGCUGGCUGCCCGAGACCCAUGAAGACCCAUGUGCUCUUCUACUGAAACAGGCAUAUUUCCCAGCAUAGACAGGAAGUGCUAGGGGAGCUGACAAGGACAUAUGAUGGGGACACGGCAUCCACAUGCUGCGGGAGUGAGACUGUCUCCCACUUGAGGGGGUCACCUCAAGUUGGACUUAAUUUAAUUUCCAUACCAAAGCAAAAUUAUUAAUGCUGCUUCUUUCUCGGAAGAAGAGGACCGAGGGACCAACUCGACUGCGUGCGUGUAUACCAGGCCAAGGCUGCACCACCGGUGAGGCUCAGCACGCAGCAGACAGCUGACACUGAGUUUCUGAGUACACAGUAUCACAACAUUGGUACCACUAGACAUCAGACAUACACCAUGUGCCAGACACCAAGGAGGACACAAGGACAAAGUCACAGAGGAUGUUGCUUCCCUCCCAAGGAUCCUAAAGAUUGUUAAAGGGAAGGAAGGAGGGAGGAGGGAGGAAAGGAAGGAGCAAAGCCAAGCCACCAUGAAAUGGUCAGCUGGGGGCACGGUAAGGCCAGGGGACAAAGGAAAUCAGGAAAGGCUCCAGAGAACUGCUGAUGCUUGAGCUCAGUACUGAGGCUGGUCCAAGUAACAGGAACCAAGACAUUUCAUUCCAAAGAGGUACAGAUAGGAAGCCAGGAAACCCAGUGAGCUGGAGCAAAUCAGUAAGCAUUGCAUAAACCCAGUCAGUUAAAAAGGGGCCCAUGGCUGGGUGCUAGUUUGGAUUUUAUCCCAAAGAUGAUGGAAAACCGCCAAAGACAGGCAUGCUCAGUUAUGCAUAAACAAACCUACAACAUCACUCAUCAUCCCUUUAGUUUGAUGCCAUUCUCCCCCUGCCCCCAGAUGCCUCGGGCUCCCUCUGUAGGGACAGGGAGUGCGUGGGUUUUUUCAAUGUAUUCCUAUUAUCAAAUGAACUAUGGGGUCAGGGCAGUAUUAAGUCAAUCCUGAAUAGAUCGGUCAGUCAAUUAAAACACACUCCCUGGAAUGAGGGGCAAAGGUAGACUAAUGAGGGGAACAGACAGAUGAAGGAGGAAGGGGACAGCUGUGAGACAUAAUGAGGCUUUUAUCUGAAGAAGUGGCAGAAGGAAAAGAGAGGAACAGGUCGCAGGAGGCAGGAACACAGAUCUGGUGGGAGAAAUGAGUGAUGGGUUUCACCCAUGUGAUGCUCUGUCAGAUUCAGCGUGGUUCCUGCCCAACAUGGCUCUGCACCCUAAAGACAACAGCGCAUCCCUUCAAUGCUAACUUCUGCGUUCUUCUUUCCAGCCAAAAUUGAACUUGCCACUCAUGGUGCACACACCACCAUUCCCCCAGUCAGCUGUCAAAACGUCACUGUGCCUGCCCCUUCAAACUCCACCCCCAGUCAAACUAAAUAAAAAUCCGCAGCUUCUUUGUCUGCCACAGAGGAACCACCUUGCACUCUUCUGCAACCCUCCCGUGCCUGCAAUAAAAGCCUUUUUCCUUUU